UAAAAUAUUAAUAAAAUAAAUAAACCGGAAGACUAAGAGCCGAAGAAUGGGACAUGGUACCCCGGUCAGGUACAACAGCCUGUGUAAAGGCUAUUAAGUCAGAAAAAGUAAAGCACGCUAGAGGUUGUGAAAGAACAUGUGACUGAAUCCCCAGGGGGUGGUAGUGUUAUAAGACCAGGGAACAGGGACCAGAUCUCGGAAGUGCCUUUAACACCGUACGAAGGAUUGUACUGUCAAGACCAGUGAAUAGGCAACCAUGGAGGGAUUUGACAAGGCACAAUUUCUCCCCUUGAUUUGUAUGGUCUGACAGCAGCAGGCGAUUUCAAUUCCAGGUAACAGAAGCCAGGACAGAAACCCACGUGGGGUGCAUAUAAGAGCACAGGUGGCUCUGCACUUUUCUCAGUGUGUAGGAGCACAGACAUUCUUAGUACAGGGCACCAGCAAAGAGGGGAGGUGACGGGCUGCUGAAGUUCAACCCAGUCAUACAUGUUUGUCCAUACCUGUGGUCCAAAGAAACCCAUUCCACAGUUUUCUCCCUCUCGACUGUUGGCCAACUCCAUCCUUCCAAGCUUGCCUGUCUGCAGUCUAUUCUUCACACCGUCCAGAGCGAUCCCAUGAAAACAUCAGUUGGACCAGGGCAAGAUGAGAUGAAGUGGAACCAUUUGCCUGAGGCUGUGAACACCUACAAAGUACGCCUUUUGAGAGCACCUCCUCUGGAAAAGCGGAAAGAAAGAUAACCAAGAAAAUUAUCCCUGCCCUUGAGGAACCCACACUUCAGUGAGUCAUAUCACCUAACAAGUAAUUAGAAUGGAAAUGCUCAAAGCAGUUGGAUCCAAGAGUCUGAGGCCCCAGGGAACAGUGCGGUUUGGGGCAGUCUUCAGCCUGGGUAGUAGUUAAAACCAUGAGUUCAUUCAAAGAGAAUGUAAGAAAUGAAAAAUGCUCAGGAGACACCGGUGUUUAAGGGGUGAAGGUCAGAGAAAGGAGGCCAAGAAGGAACAGUAAUAAUCAACGACGUGCGGAAGAGCUGGAAGAGUGAGCCACUGACGUCAUCGCUACUAGAGCCUGUAUGGAAUACUACUAAUAGUCAAGCAAGGAUCAUUCCUCAUAAUUCGCUAGUGUCACCUACUGUUCUGAGCCUGUUUCAUAUAUUCAUACAUUAAACCCGGGGAGUGAGGCACCAGUAUGGCCCUACCUUACACAGAAAACUCUGUGAAAUUCACCUACCCAAGUGCACACAUCUACUAAAAAAUAAAGAUUAGAACCCAAGCAGCCCCCCCCUUUUAAAAGAUUUUAUUUAAAAAAAAUAAAAAAUAAAAGAUUU